AACGAACGCUGGCGGCAUGCCUAAUACAUGCAAGUCGAACGGAAUGGGGCAACCCAUUUAGUGGCGGACGGGUGAGUAACGCGUGGGAACCUGCCCAUCGGUACGGAAUAACCUCGGGAAACUGUGGCUAAUACCGUAUGCUCCCUUCGGGGGAAAGAUUUAUCGCCGGUGGGGGGGCCCGCGUCGGAUUAGGUAGUUGGUGAGGUAACGGCUCACCAAGCCUUCGAUCCGUAGCUGGUCUGAGAGGAUGAUCAGCCACACUGGGACUGAGACACGGCCCAGACUCCUACGGGAGGCAGCAGUAGGGAAUAUUGGACAAUGGGGGCAACCCUGAUCCAGCAAUGCCGCGUGAGUGAUGAAGGCCUUAGGGUUGUAAAGCUCUUUUGGCAGGGACGAUGAUGACGGUACCUGCAGAAUAAGCCCCGGCUAACUUCGUGCCAGCAGCCGCUGUAA
rnacentral:rRNA from 1 species